UACGGGGGGAGCAAGCGUUGUUCGGAAUCACUGGGCGUAAAGGGUGUGUAGGCGGGCAAGUAAGUCGGACGUGAAAACUCCAGGCUUAACCUGGAGCCUGCGUUCGAAACUACCUGUCUUGAGUACGGGAGAGGAAAGUGGAAUUCCUGGUGUAGCGGUGAAAUGCGUAGAUAUCAGGAGGAACACCGGUGGCGAAGGCGGCUUUCUAGCCCGAUACUGACGCUGAGACACGAAGGCUAGGGGAGCAAACAGGAUUAGAUACCCGCGUA
rnacentral:rRNA from 1 species